rnacentral:rRNA from 1 species
GACGAACGCUGGCGGCGUGCUUAACACAUGCAAGUCGAACGGAAAGGCCCUGCUUUUGUGGGGUGCUUGUUUGGCGAACGGGUGUGUAUCACGUGAGUAACCUGUCCUUGACUUUGGGAUAACUUCAGGAAACUGGGGCUCAUACCGGAUAGGAGCUCCUGCUGCAUGGUGGGGGUUGGAAAGUUUCGGCGGUUGGGGCUGGUCUCGCUGCUUAUCCGCUUGUUGGUGGGGUAGUUGCUUACCAAGUUUUUGACGGGUAGCCGGCCUGAGAGGGUGAACGGCCUCAUUGGGACUGAGGUACGGCCCAGACUGCUACCGGCGGCAGCGGGGGGGAAUAUUGCACAAUAGGCGGAAGCCUGAUGCAGCAACGCCGCGUGCGGGAUGCCGGCCUUCGGGUUGUAAACCGCUUUCUCCUGUGACGAAGCGUGAGUGACGGUAAUGGGUAAAGAAGCACCGGCUAACUACGUG